rnacentral:tRNA from 1 species
UCCAGGGUAGCCUAGUGGACAUGGCAUCUGCCCGGUAAGCGGAACAGUGUGGGUUCCCAUCCCUGGAU